GGGGCUGUACUGGUUUUGACAGCAUAGGUUACGGUAGGUGUAAGCAUGCAGUGCGUUGGGUAAUUAGCACUUUAAUCUGAAUAUUCAAAUCUCAAAUGGCAAUACUCAGUAUGCCAUGGCUGCCUAAUCAGUGAUUAAGUAGUCAUUAGGGCCGCCGCGCAGGUUAGCCUGUUUCCAUGCGCCGCCGCCGACUCAAAACAAACACAGGAUGCUGCUGCAGAAGGCUGUGACUGUAGCAAAAGACUAUUCAGCUAAGCGUUUAAUUGGUUUGUUCGUUUCCUGUUAAGCGCCGACAAGCAAUAAUGAAAUAAGCAUGUAGAAAGCUUAUGGUGAUUGUGUUUGGACAGGGGUUCGAUUCCCCUCAGCUCCACAA
rnacentral:tmRNA from 1 species